rnacentral:rRNA from 1 species
AUUGAACGCUGGCGGCAUGCCUUACACAUGCAAGUCGAACGGCAGCACGGGAGCAAUCCUGGUGGCGAGUGGCGAACGGGUGAGUAAUAUAUCGGAACGUGCCCAGUCGUGGGGGAUAACGCAGCGAAAGCUGUGCUAAUACCGCAUACGAUCUCAGAAUGAAAGCGGGGGUUCGCAAGAACUCGCGCGUGUGGAGCGGUCGAUAUCAGAUUAGCUAGUAGGUGGGGUAAAAGCCAACCAAGGCGACGAACUGUAGCGGGUCUGAGAGGAUGACCAGCCACACUGGAACUGAGACACGGGCCAGACUCCUACGGGAGGCAGCAGUGGGGAAUAUUGGACAAUGGGCGCAAGCCUGAUCCAGCCAUGCCGCGUGUGUGAAGAAGGCCUUAGGGUUGUAAAGCACUUUUGUCCGGAAAGAAAUCCUUUCGAUUAAUACUCGGAAGGGAUGACGGUACCGGAAGAAUAAGCACCGGCUAACUUCGUGCCAGCCGCCGCCGUAAAAC